GGGUGGGUAACCGCGGGAAUACCCGCCUCCUCCCCGAAAGGGUGAGGCCGCUGGAUGGCGGACCAGAGCGAGUAGGGGAGGGGCCACCU
ncrna:unclassified sequences DTF3800-X RNA